CCUACGGGUGGCAGCAGUGGGGAAUAUUGGACAAUGGGCGAAAGCCUGAUCCAGCCAUGCCGCGUGUGUGAAGAAGGCCUUCGGGUUGUAAAGCACUUUCAGUGGGGAAGAAAGCCUUGGGGCUAAUACCCUCGAGGAAGGACAUCACCCACAGAAGAAGCACCGGCUAACUCCGUGCCAGCAGCCGCGGUAAUACGGAGGGUGCGAGCGUUAAUCGGAAUUACUGGGCGUAAAGCGCGCGUAGGCGGUCUGAUAAGCCGGUUGUGAAAGCCCCGGGCUCAACCUGGGAACGGCAUCCGGAACUGUCAGGCUAGAGUGCAGGAGAGGAAGGUAGAAUCCCCGGUGUAGCGGUGAAAUGCGUAGAGAUCGGGAGGAAUACCAGUGGCGAAGGCGGCCUUCUGGACUGACACUGACGCUGAGGUGCGAAAGCGUGGGUAGCAAACAGGAUUAGAUACCCGGUAGUC
rnacentral:rRNA from 1 species